rnacentral:rRNA from 1 species
AGUGAACGCUGGCGGCGUGCUUAACACAUGCAAGUCGAACGAGAACGGAUUAUAGCUUGCUAUAAUUGUCAGCUAAGUGGCGCACGGGUGAGUAAUGUAUAGGUAAUAUGCCUCUUACUAAGGGAUAACAAAUGGAAACGUUUGCUAAUACCUUAUACUCCUUAUUAACAGAAGUUAAUAAGGGAAAGAUUUAUUGGUAAGAGAUUAGCCUGUAUUGUAUCAGUUAGUUGGUGGGUAAUGGCUUACCAAGACUAUGACACAUAACUGGUUUGAGAGGAUGAUCAGUCACACUGGAACUGAGACACGGUCCAGACUCCUACGGGAGGCAGCAGUGGGGAAUAUUGCACAAUGGACGAAAGUCUGAUGCAGCAACGCCGCGUGGAGGAUGACACAUUUCGGUGCGUAAACUCCUUUAUAUGAGAAGAUAAUGACGGUAUUAUAUGAAUAAGCACCGGCUAACUCCGUGCCGAGCAGCCGCGG